CUGAUCAGCCCUGAACAUAGAACGUUCAGCAUGGAGUUGGGGCUGUGCUGGGUAUUUCUGGUUGCUCUAUUAAAAGGUGUCCAGGGUGAGGUGCAGCUGGUGGAGUCUGGGGGAGUCUUGGUGCAGCCUGGAAAGUCCCUGAAACUCUCCUGUGCAGCCUCCGGAUUCACUUUCAAUGAUGCUUAUGUGCAUUGGGUCUGCCAGACUCCAGAGAAAAGGUUGGAGUGGGUUGCUGAAAUUAGAAACAAAGCUAAUAAUUAUGCAACAUACUAUCUAGAGUCUGUUAAAGGCAGAUUUACCAUCUCAAAAGAUGAUCCCAAAAGCAGUGUCUACCUGCAAAUGAACAGCUUAAGAGCCGAAGACACUGCCAUUUAUUACUGUACUAGAGACACAGUGAGAAGCCUUCAGUAUGAACCCAGACACAAACUUCCCUGCAGGAGCGCUUAG